AUUGCUUCUCGGCCUUUUGGCUAAGAUCAAGUGUAGUAUUUGUUCUUACCAAUUUAAGACAGAGAAACCAGCAACUACUGUGCAGCUAUACAUGAGAAAGUAUGAGAUACCCAGAUGUCACACAGCAUCCUUUUUUUUUUUUCUCAAGAUUUUAUUUAUUUAUCUGAGAGGCCAAAUUAUAGAGAGAGACAUACAGAAAGGUUUUCAAUCCAUU
ensembl:snRNA U2 U2 spliceosomal RNA